rnacentral:rRNA from 1 species
UGCCCGAAGGGUGACGAUGCGACGCCGCGUGAGCGAAGAAGGCCCUAGGGUUGUAAAGCUCUGUCAGGGGUUAAGAAAUGUAGAUAGGUUAAUACCCUGUUUAUUUGACAAAAGCCCCAAAGGAAGUCACGGCUAACUCUGUGCCAGCAGCCGCGGUAAUACAGAGGUGGCAAGCGUUGUUCGGUAUUAUUGGGCGUAAAGAGCACGUAGGUGGUUUUAUAAGUCAGAUGUGAAAGCCUUCUGUUCAAAGGAAGAACGGCAUCUGAAACUGCAAAUCUUGAGUGUAGGAGGGGAGGGUGGAACUUCUGGUGGAGCGGUGAAAUGCGUAGAUACCAGAAGGAACGUCGGCGGCGAAAGCGACUCUCUGGCCUAUUACUGACACUGAGUGUGCGAAAGUUAGGGGAGCAAACGGGAUUAGAUACCCCGGUAGUCCUAACCGUAAACGAUGGGCACUAAGUAGAGGGGU